GGAGAAACCGUUUCACAUUCGACGCUGAAAGCACCCAUUUGAAGACCGGUAUAACCGUCAAUAACAGUGUCAGCAAGUCCACCAGUUGUGCUUACCAAGGGAAUUGUUCCGUAAGGCAUAGCUUGCAACUGGAUGAGACCACAGGGUUCGAAUCUACUUGGAAUGAUCAAGAAAUCAGCUGCAGCAUUUAUGAGAUGUGCUAAAGGAACGUUGAAUUUUGCCACGCCCCUAGCUUUGUCAGGAUAUUUUAUCUCUAACUCUUCAAGCUGUUGCUCUAAGUAUUUCUUGCCAGUUCCAAGGACCACCAAUUGAAC
rnacentral:misc_RNA from 1 species